rnacentral:rRNA from 1 species
AUUGAACGCUGGCGGCAGGCCUAACACAUGCAAGUCGAGCGGCAGCGGAAAGUAGCUUGCUACUUUGCCGGCGAGCGGCGGACGGGUGAGUAAUGUCUGGGAAACUGCCUGAUGGAGGGGGAUAACUACUGGAAACGGUAGCUAAUACCGCAUAAUGUCGCAAGACCAAAGAGGGGGACCUUCGGGCCUCUUGCCAUCAGAUGUGCCCAGAUGGGAUUAGCUAGUAGGUGGGGUAACGGCUAACCUAGGCGACGAUCCCUAGCUGGUCUGAGAGGAUGACCAGCCACACUGGAACUGAGACACGGUCCAGACUCCUACGGGAGGCAGCAGUGGGGAAUAUUGCACAAUGGGCGCAAGCCUGAUGCAGCCAUGCCGCGUGUAUGAAGAAGGCCUUCGGGUUGUAAAGUACUUUCAGCGGGGAGGAAGGUGUUGAGGUUAAUAACCUCAGCAAUUGACGUUACCCGCAGAAGAAGCACCGGCUAACUCCGUGCCAGCAGCCGCGGUAA